rnacentral:rRNA from 1 species
AUUGAACGCUGGCGGCAGGCUUAACACAUGCAAGUCGAGCGGGGUGAUGGUGCUUGCACUAUCACUUAGCGGCGGACGGGUGAGUAAUGCUUAGGAAUCUGCCUAUUAGUGGGGGACAACAUCUCGAAAGGGAUGCUAAUACCGCAUACGUCCUACGGGAGAAAGCAGGGGAUCACUUGUGACCUUGCGCUAAUAGAUGAGCCUAAGUCGGAUUAGCUAGUUGGUGGGGUAAAGGCCUACCAAGGCGACGAUCUGUAGCGGGCCUGAGAGGAUGAUCCGCCACACUGGGACUGAGACACGGCCCAGACUCCUACGGGAGGCAGCAGUGGGGAAUAUUGGACAAUGGGGGGAACCCUGAUCCAGCCAUGCCGCGUGUGUGAAGAAGGCCUUAUGGUUGUAAAGCACUUUAAGCGAGGAGGAGGCUCUUUUGGUUAAUACCCAAGAUGAGUGGAUGUUACUCGCAGAAUAAGCACCGGCUAACUCUGUGCCAGCAGCCGCAGUAA